rnacentral:rRNA from 1 species
UGAAGAAGGUCUUCGGAUCGUAAAGCUCUGUUGUAAGUGAAGAACGGUCAGUAGAGGAAAUGAUACUGAAGUGACGGUAGCUUACCAGAAAGCCACGGCUAACUACGUGCCAGCAGCCGCGGUAAUACGUAGGUGGCGAGCGUUAUCCGGAAUCAUUGGGCGUAAAGGGUGCGCAGGUGGUACAUUAAGUCCGAAGUAAAAGGCAGCAGCUCAACUGCUGUUGGCUUUGGAAACUGGUGAACUGGAGUGCAGGAGAGGGCGAUGGAAUUCCAUGUGUAGCGGUGAAAUGCGUAGAUAUAUGGAGGAACACCAGUGGCGAAGGCGGUCGCCUGGCCUGCAACUGACACUGAAGCACGAAAGCGUGGGGAGCAAAUAGGAUUAGAUACCCUAGUAGUCCACGCCGUAAACGAUGAGAACUAAGUGUUGGGGAGACUCAGUGCUGCAGUUAACGCAAUAAGUUCUCCGCCUGGGGAGUAUGCACGCAAGUGUGAAACUCAAAGGAAUUGACGGGGGCCCGCACAAGCGGUGGAGUAUGUGGUUUAAUUCGAAGCAACGCGAAGAACCUUACCAGGCCUUGACAUGGAUGUAAAUGUUCUAGAGAUAGAAAGAUAGCUAUACAUCACACAGGUGGUGCAUGGUUGUCGUCAGCUCGUGUCGUGAGAUGUUGGGUUAAGUCCCGCAACGAGCGCAACCCUUGUCACAUGUUACCAGUAUUGAGUUAGGAACUCAUGCGAGACUGCCGGUGACAAACCGGAGGAAGGUGGGGAUGACGUCAAAUCAUCAUGCCCCUUAUGGCCUGGGCUACACACGUACUACAAUGG